UAAUACGAAGGGGGCUAGCGUUGCUCGGAAUUACUGGGCGUAAAGGGCGCGUAGGCGGACAGUUAAGUCAGAGGUGAAAGCCCAGGGCUCAACCCUGGAAUAGCCUUUGAUACUGGCUGUCUUGAGUGCGGGAGAGGUGUGUGGAACUCCGAGUGUAGAGGUGAAAUUCGUAGAUAUUCGGAAGAACACCAGUGGCGAAGGCGACACACUGGCCCGUAACUGACGCUGAGGCGCGAAAGCGUGGGGAGCAAACAGGAUUAGAUACCCUGGUAGUCCACGCCGUAAACGAUGGAUGCUAGCCGUUGGCAGGCUUGCCUGUCAGUGGCGCAGCUAACGCAUUAAGCAUCCCGCCUGGGGAGUACGGUCGCAAGAUUA
rnacentral:rRNA from 1 species